rnacentral:tRNA from 1 species
CCCUAAAUUGGCAUAGUGGUUUGAGAGUUGGACUACAACUCUGGAGACCAGGGUUCAAUUCCCUGUUCAGCCA